rnacentral:rRNA from 1 species
UACGGAGGGCGCGAGCGUUAAUCGGAAUUACUGGGCGUAAAGCGCGCGUAGGCUGUUGUGUAAGUUGGGGGUGAAAUCCCACGGCUCAACCGUGGAACAGCCCUUGAUACUGCGCGACUUGAAUCCGGGAGAGGGUGGCGGAAUUCCAGGUGUAGGAGUGAAAUCCGUAGAUAUCUGGAGGAACAUCAGUGGCGAAGGCGGCCACCUGGACCGGUAUUGACGCCGAGGCGCGAAAGCGUGGGGAGCAAACAGG